UACGUAGGUGGCAAGCGUUAUCCGGAUUUAUUGGGCGUAAAGGGAACGCAGGCGGUCUUUUAAGUCUGAUGUGAAAGCCUUCGGCUUAACCGGAGUAGUGCAUUGGAAACUGGGAGACUUGAGUGCAGAAGAGGAGAGUGGAACUCCAUGUGUAGCGGUGAAAUGCGUAGAUAUAUGGAAGAACACCAGUGGCGAAAGCGGCUCUCUGGUCUGUAACUGACGCUGAGGUUCGAAAGCGUGGGUAGCGAACAGG
rnacentral:rRNA from 1 species